GGAGUGAAUCACCCUAAUCCUAUAUGUAUUAGGAGUAGGAUAUGUUAUUUGUGUAUAUAUAGGGCUCAUUGUUGCAUUGUAAAUGAUAUAUCAAUAAUAUUAUUCUCCCGUGCAUUCUCACAUGGUAUCAGACCAACCUUGAGAAAUUCAUCGUUGUGCGUCAUUCCAACGACAUCCAGGAAGGAAUAACUAAGUCACCGUGCAAUUUUCCGGUGACCUAAAUAACUAAUCGCGUCAAAGUCACUAAUUAUUAGUAUUGUGCAAUUUCCGAGACCACCACAAGGUUCAUAAGAGAAAUCCGACCAAACCCCAGAAAAAAUCACCAGAAAAAAUCCACCCACGCGCCGGCGCGUGAGCCCCCUUCCGGUUAGAAUUUCAAAAAUUUCUUCAGGGCAGUUGGAUCGCCCUCAAAUUUCGAGCCUACCCAUAAUUUUAUUGUGGCGAUCUAUUGAUUCCAAGUUGAUGCCCUUGUUCCGUCCAUUCCAGACAUGUUAUUUAGUUUGGGAAAAGGCUCGUAAUUUAUACACGAAUGAUAUAUCUCGUUUCUAUGAUGUAAUUUCGCGAAUGACAAGCUUGAAGAAACAGGAAUUGGAUAUGUCUACUUACUUGGGACAAGUACAGGCAAUCAUGGAAGAAUUUGAGACGCUGAUGCCAGUUUCGGCUAGUAUUGAAAAGCAACAAGAGCAACGACAGAAAGAUGUAUCUAGUUCUUACACUAGCUGGACUCCCUAAUGACCUUGAUUCAGUACGUGACCAGAUUUUGGCUAGUCUAGCUGUCCCCACGGUUGAUGAACUAUUAUCUCGAUUACUUCGCCUUGCUGCAGCACCAAGUCACCCAGUGAGCUCAUCACAGACACUUGGCUCAUCUGUCCUCGUGUCCCAAUCAGUGGACAAUCGGGCAUCUCUUACUAUGGAGAGUAGACGCGGAGGAGGUCGUUUUGGAAGAUCUAGACCCAAGUGCUCUUAUUGUCAUAAACUUGGACACACUCGUGACGUGUGCUACUAGACCCAAGUGCUCUUAUUGUCAUAAACUUGGACACACUCAUGACAUGUGCUAUUCUUUACAUGGCCGCCCACCCAAAAAUGCUUAUGUUGCUCAGAUAGAGACUACAGGUAACCAAGGUUUUUCUUUAUCCGAAGGGGAGUAAAAUGAGUUCCUUCAGUAUCGAGCAAGUAAGCAGAUAUCUGCACAAGUAGCUUUUGUUUCUCAAACUGAUACUUCUGUUGCUGGUAAUUCUUUUGCUUGUGUUUCCCACUCUAGUACUCUUGGACAAUGGGUUGUGGACUCAGCCGCUUCUGAUCAUAUCUGUGGUAAUAAAUUACUUUUGUCAAAUAUUGCGUAUUCACAGUGCCUUCCUACUAUUACUUUAGCCAAUGGGUCUCAAACCAAAGCAAAAGGAGUUGGACAAGCGUCUCCCCUACCCUCUGUCACUCUAGAUUUCGUUCUCUAUGUCACUCUACUAUCACAUGUCAGGCGAACUCAUUUCUCAAAUAUUUAACCAUUUAAAUAAAUAUUGGGAGAAAAAUAAGUGCAGACCUAAAAGAAUUAUUAAUAAUUAGAGACCAAGUAGUUAUCACCCAAUAUUUUUGCCAAUUAAUGGAAAUGUUCUGAGUUGUUUUCUAUUUUCCAAAAUUUUUGUGCUGAAAUUAAAAAUCAAUUCGUUGUUUCUAUUCGUACUUUUCGCAGUGAUAAUGCCUUAGAAUAUUUAUCCUCUCCAUUUCAGCAGUUUAUGACUUCUCAAGGAAUUAUUCAUCAGACCUCUUGUCCUUAUACCCCUCAGCAAGAUGGGGUUGCCUAGAGAAAGAAUAGGUACAUUAUUGAGACUGCUCGCAUUCUUCUCAUUGAAUCUCAUGCUCCACUGCGUCUUUGGGGCGAUGUUGUUCUCACAGCUUGUUAUUUAGUUAAUCGGAGGCCUUCCUCUCCCAUACAGAAUCAGAUACCGUAUGCCAUGUUGUUUCCCGAAUCAUCCUUAUACUUUGUUCCCCCUCGUAUUUUUGGGAGCACUUGUUUCGUUCAUAACUUAGCCAUGGGAAAGAUAAGUUAGCCCCUCGUGCUCUCAAGUGUGUCUUCCUUGGUUAUUCUCGUGUUCAGAAGGGAUAUCGUUGUUACUCAUCUGAUCUUCGUAGGUACUUUAUGUCCUCUAACAUCAUAUUUUUUGAGUCUAAACCUUUCUUUACCUCUUCUGACCAUUCUGAC
rnacentral:lncRNA from 1 species